GACGAACGCUGGCGGCGUGCCUAAUACAUGCAAGUAGAACGCACAGUUUAUACCGUAGCUUGCUACACCAUAGACUGUGAGUCGCGAACGGGUGAGUAACGCGUAGGUAACCUGCCUGGUAGCGGGGGAUAACUAUUGGAAACGAUAGCUAAUACCGCAUAAUAUUGAUUAUUGCAUGAUAAUUGAUUGAAAGAUGCUAUUGCAUCACUACCAGAUGGACCUGCGUUGUAUUAGCUAGUAGGUGAGGUAACGGCUCACCUAGGCGACGAUACAUAGCCGACCUGAGAGGGUGAUCGGCCACACUGGGACUGAGACACGGCCCAGACUCCUACGGGAGGCAGCAGUAGGGAAUCUUCGGCAAUGGACGAAAGUCUGACCGAGCAACGCCGCGUGAGUGAAGAAGGUUUUCGGAUCGUAAAGCUCUGUUGUAAGAGAAGAACGGGUGUGAGAGUGGAAAGUUCACACUGUGACGUAUCUACCAGAAAGGACGCA
rnacentral:rRNA from 1 species